GUUGCAUUGUUGCAGUCAAGAUACGCGGAACGUGUGCCUGCAGCUGUUUCUGGGAGACACCUACACAACGAUUCCUUCCCCAGCAUCAUCCAUCUCGCUGUAAUCCAAAAGCAGAUUCGACAGCAGAAUGGCUUCAGAAGCUGAGCGUGGUGGUGGGUUCCGAGUGGCUGGUGAAGAUGUCCCAGUGUGUCAGAGUUGUGUGUCGUCUGGAGCUACUCCGUCCUCCAUCACAUCUGCUCUGGAAGAUGUCAACAGCGUGUAUUCCCAGUCAGUUUCUGAUGUGCCUGAGAGUACACCGUGUGCUGCAGACACCUCGCGUGUGAGUGUCAGUGACUUGCCAGAUGAGAUACUGAUAAAGAUCUUCUCUCACAUGUCUUUCAGUGAGCUAACAGAUGUGGUACAGGAGAUGUGCUCUUGUUGGAGAAGGCUGUCUCAAGAUUUCGAGUUGUAGCAUGACAAGGAAUACCAUGUCAGGUACUGGACUUGUUUCGACGUGGACACCAGUAAAGGUGGCACAACUGACGAGGAGGCGAUAAAGAUUUUCUGCGAUGCCCCGAACCUGCGUACUGUGUGCAUGUGGAGAAGUGCCAGGUCACGUGUCUUCCGUGCGCUCUACAGCAAAUGCCAGAGACUCUCCGAGCUGCAACUGCAUGUCAGUCAGAAGCUCAGCUACUCGGUGUGUCCUCCCUUUGCUGGCGGACUGUGCUGACACCUUGGAACGUCUGCAGUUUUACGAAUUCGAAUUAGUAGAUGAUGAGACGAGGGAGGCAUUUACUGCCCUAGGCAACCUGAGGAGCCUGCAGGAGCUUAAGAUGAUGAUCCUCGAUCCUCUACCGCCUGGUACAGGUGCUCUGGUGUUUAAGGCUGGUGGGCUGACAAAACUCAGACUGCUGGAUCUAUGAGGUGGGUAUGGACUCGACGACGAUACGUUAAUUGCCGUCAGCUGCGGAUGCCCUGCUUUGCAGGAAGUUAAUGUCAGAGAAGCAGAGUUGCUGUCUGAUACUGCAUUCUCUCAGAUCUACCAUCUGGAACAUCUUGAAAUACUGGACGUGUCAUGGUGCAAGGGUCUCGGCGGAGCUCUGUUCCCCUGCCUCGCCAGGCUACCGUGACUUCACACCUUGUUCGCAGAAGAACUGGAGUUUCCCGUGAUACAACCUGGUCUGAGCAGUAUACUCGCAUUGUCCAGUGUGUGCUGCCUGACAUUCAACUAUUCAGUUGUUACUGGAGUGCCAUUUCAUAAGUUUCCAGGAAAGCUGGUCAGUCUCAGGGAGCUGAAAAUCCGAGGCUGUAGAGGUGACCCUAAAGCCACAGAUGGACUGUCUGAGCAGAUGCCUGAUCUCAAAAUCUAUGGCAGCAUUGAAGCAGAGGAUCCAGCUUUCAACACAGAAGAUCACCAGAAUGAUGUAGACCGUGAAGGGGAAGAGAAUGUGCAGCUCGGUGGAGCAGAUGAAAUACGUGACGACCGUUCCGAUAGUGGCAAAGACAGUGACGUUGACAGUAGCAGUAGCAGUGAUAAUGAGAGUGAUAGUAUUAUUUGGGAUGAAAGUAGUAUACCUUCUCUCUUUUUGCAGGAUGUUUGAUGAAAUAACCUACAAACACUUACAUUAAAAAAAGAAAAAAAUACAUACCACAUGUGAUUACACCAGAUCAACCAUAAAUGGACAACUAAUAAUGCAGUAGCAAUGAAGACAAUAGCUUAGUUGUAUUAAAGCAAAAUGACUAUAAAAUUAGAUAUCAUCUUUAAAGAUAAUAACAUCACACAAAUAAACUGGGAUAAACAGCACAAGGGGGGGGGGGAGGGGGGGGGGGACCAUGUCAAACAUUGCAACACAAUCCUAACACUCGAUGAAGAUAGACCAUGCAUAGUGAUAAACUGCAGAAAACCUAGACUACAUGAACAAUCAAAAAUCCAUGAGUCAUUAGCUGUGAUCAGCCCAGUGGUAGAUAGCAUAGAUAGCCCUACAUAACUUACCAGUAAAAAAAUUAAACAUUCUUCUAUCAGAAUUCUAUAUAUACACUAAAAAAUAUACAGUAAGAAAACCAAGGUCAUUAGCACAAAAAAUAAGACAUAAAAAUACAAACAAAUGGGAAAUUCAUAUUGUUUACUACUACCCUGUACAUAUCCAUACUAAUAUUCCGAAUUCUGAAAUGAUCACCAUAAAUGAAAGUAACCUGCUCCAGUACAGAAAAGCUUCAAUAAUAGAUACUAACGAAAUUAUACUGAUACUAAAAUUAGUACAGCAAAACUACUUUCAGUUCAAAAACAAAAUUUAUACACAGACAGGUGCAAUUGCCAUGGAAUGCAGCAUAGCUGGAACAAUAGUGGAUUUAUUCUUAAACAUACUAGUAGAAAAAAUUUCCAGCAACACAGACACAAACACAAACACAUUAAUUAUAAAAAUUUUAUAUUAUUAUAGGUACAUCAAUGAUACACUAAUGCUAGUCGAUGGAGACAGUACAGACACCCAGCAGAUACACAAGGCACUGAAUGCACUGCAUCCUAAAAUGGAAAUUUUCAAUAGAACCAGAAAACAAUAAAGCAAAACAUUUCCUCGACCUAACCCUGAUAUAAUACAGACAUAUUUGAAAUUUACUGUGAGCCCACUACAAUAGAAAAUGAUAUUAAUGAAGAUCCACACUGCCCAAAUGCCUACACUUUUAUGCCGUGAUUAACAGUAUAAUAAACUUAUCACUUAAAAAAGACGCCAUACAAAAGGAGAUUAAAAUCUUACAAUAUAUGGCACAACAAAAUUAUUACAGUCCAUAAGUAGUCACUCAACCAUACGAUAAACACACCAAACCAGCACAGCCUGUAAUACAAAAAGAAGAUGGCCGCCGA